AUUGAACGCUGGCGGCAUGCUUUACACAUGCAAGUCGAACGGUAACAGGCCGCAAGGUGCUGACGAGUGGCGAACGGGUGAGUAAUGCAUCGGAACGUGCCCAGUCGUGGGGGAUAACGCAGCGAAAGCUGCGCUAAUACCGCAUACGAUCUAUGGAUGAAAGCGGGGGACCGUAAGGCCUCGCGCGAUUGGAGCGGCCGAUGUCAGAUUAGGUAGUUGGUGAGGUAAAGGCUCAACAAGCCAACGAUCUGUAGCGGGUCUGAGAGGACGACCAGCCACACUGGGACUGAGACACGGCCCAGACUCCUACGGGAGGCAGCAGUGGGGAAUUUUGGACAAUGGGCGCAAGCCUGAUCCAGCAAUGCCGCGUGCAGGAAGAAGGCCUUCGGGUUGUAAACUGCUUUUGUACGGAACGAAAAGCCCUGGGUUAAUACCCUGGGGUCAUGACGGUACCGUAAGAAUAAGCACCGGCUAACUACGUGCCAGCCGCCGCCGUAACAC
rnacentral:rRNA from 1 species